UACUAAAUAAAUAUAACGCUCAUGUACCUGUGACCCUUAUAGUUCUAUCCCAGAAUGGCAUCAUCAAAGGCACACAGUCCAAGAACAAACAGAAGUUCAAAAAUAAAACAAGUCCUUUACUUGUGUUGUUGGAACACCAAGAAGAAAGCACACAGUUCACAUCAACACUUCUUAAAAUCCCUUUCUAUGCUGUGCCAUCCACUGUCCUCACACAUCCCCGGUAGUCCCUCACUUCUUCUGUACAAGCCCCCAGAAAACUCUUCUUGUUCUUCUCUUACACUCUUUUUGCUCUUGAUUCUUAGCGUAAAAAUCCAAAAGAAUCAAGACAGGGGAAAGGUUGGGAACUCAUAUAUUAGUAAUUUUUGUUCAAUUCAAGGCAUUUUUGUUCAAAAUGCUUUGGAAGUUAUAUGGAGAAGCACAGACCCUACCUUCAAAAGCCUAUAAUCAAAUGGAGGAUAUUCAGCAUUUGUUGGGCACCUAUAACAAGUCAAGCAUUGUGCCAAGCACCAUGGAUAUAAAAAUUAAUAAGCAAGAAUGUCUGCUCUAGAGAAGCUGACAGCCCAAUGCUGAGUGGCCACAUGCAGAGAUAAGUAAAAUGCAAUGUGAUAAAUGUUAAAAUAAACUUUACACAGAAAUUGCUAUAAAAACUUGACAGAGCUUCCUUAAAAAUGAUCCUUCUGGCUUCCUUUUCCACCCCUUUAACUUGUAGCUUUCAUCCUCAAAGUUGCAAGAAGGCUGCUCUACCUGCAGUCAGAAAGAAGAGGGGAAAAGAGGAAAAAGUGUGUGCCAGCAGAGCAUGUUCCUUUUAUAUAAUAAAACAAAAGUGUGUCUCAUAGCGGAACCCUGUAACCAUCAUAGACCACAUCUCAGUCAUAUGGACGUACCUAGAUGCAAGGGAGUCUGAGGAAAUGCGGUUUUUAUAACAAGUCACAUUCCCACUUAAAAAAAAAAGUCUUUGAUUAAUGAAGGUGAGAAUGAAUACUAGGUAGGCAAAUGCAUGGUCAAAGUCAAUGUCCUUACAAAUU
rnacentral:lncRNA from 1 species